rnacentral:rRNA from 1 species
GACGAACGCUGGCGGCGUGCUUAACACAUGCAAGUCGAACGGAAAGGCCCUGCUUUUGUGGGGUGCUCGAGUGGCGAACGGGUGAGUAACACGUGAGUAACCUGCCCUUGACUUUGGGAUAACUUCAGGAAACUGGGGCUAAUACCGGAUAGGAGCUGCUGCUGCAUGGUGGGGGUUGGAAAGUUUCGGCGGUUGGGGAUGGACUCGCGGCUUAUCAGCUUGUUGGUGGGGUAGUGGCUUACCAAGGCUUUGACGGGUAGCCGGCCUGAGAGGGUGACCGGCCACAUUGGUACUGAGAUACGGCCCAGACUCCUACGGGAGGCAGCAGUGGGGAAUAUGGCACAAUGGGCGGAAGCCGGAUGCAGCAACGCCGCGUGCGGGAUGACGGCCUUCGGGUUGUAAACCGCUUUCGCCUGUGACGAAGCGGGAGUGACGGUAAUGGGUAAAGAAGCACCGGCUAACUACGUG